CCUACGGGAGGCAGCCGUGAGGAAUAUUGGUCAAUGGACGAGAGUCUGAACCAGCCAAGUAGCGUGAAGGAUGACUGCCCUAUGUGUUGUAAACUUCUUUUAUAAAGGAAUAAAACGAGGCACGUGUGCCUUUUUGCAUGUACUUUAUGAAUACGGAUCGGCUAACUCCGUGCCAGCAGCCGCGGUAAUACGGAGGAUCCGAGCGUUAUCCGGAUUUAGUGGGUUUAAAGGGAGCGUAGAUGGGUUGUUAAGUCAGUUGUGAAAGUUUGCGGCUCAACCGUAAAAUUGCAAUUGAUACUGGCAGUCUUGAGUACAGUUGAGGUAGGCGGAAUUCGUGGUGUAGCGGUGAAAUGCUUAGAUAUCACGAAGAACCCCGAUUGCGAAGGCAGCUUACUAAACUGUGACUGACAUUGAUGCUCGAAAGUGUGGGUAUCAAACAGGAUUAGAUACCCUUGUAGUC
rnacentral:rRNA from 1 species